UUUAAUAAUGGUGAUUACCAUCCAUUGAUAUUGAAUAAAGAGUUCCAGUUUUUCCUUUCCGAUUCUUUAAAUUGUCACUAAGUGCUAAAUUGAUUCAAGCUAUAACAAUUUGGUAUUAGAGCCUUGUCCUGGCACCAUGACUAUUACAGAGACGCGAGCUAAAACAACUAAGGAGAAUGUAAAGAAAUUGGAAAAUCAGUUACAAAAUUACAUGACUGAAACAAACAAAAAAUUGGAGUCCAAUGACUCAGAUGGAUUAUCUGAACAGGAAAUUUGAUGUGAUGAUGGAGAAACUCUUUUCACACAGGGACGACAUUCUGAGGAGUCCACCAACUGAUGGUCUUCAAUUUGAAGGUUCUGGAAGCAGAGCGAGAAGAGCAUAACCACCGGAGCAGCAAACUGGGCAAAAUUUGGUGAACAAUUUUGCUUUUAGAGUGGAGUUUCCAUACUUUGAGGAAGGGGAUCCUCGAUCAUGGCUGCACAAAUAUGAAAGGUAUUUUCAUUACAAUCAUAUUACAGACCCACAACAGAAAUUAGAAUAUCUUCAUCUUAAUGGGAGGGCUAAGUAUUGGUACUUUUCUUAUCAAUUGAGUAGAGGGAUUGUGAGAUGGUCAAAUUUUAUUGAAGAAAUCUGUAAGAGAUUUAAUGAAUCUGAUAAUAGUAACUUGAAGUUGUUGGGGGAAUUUAAAAAGGUAGAAUAAAAGGGGACUGUCAAUGAAUUCCUAGAGAGGUUUGAAGAUUUGAAGGCCUGGUUAUUGAUAAAAUACCCAACUAUACCUGAAGAAUUCUUCCUAGGGCUCUUCAUUGAAGGUUUGAAAGAAGAUAUUAGACAUAUUGCGAAGAUUCUUGACCCAUAUUCCUUAAGUCAUGCUGUGGAAAAGGCUAGGCACAAGGAGAACUUGAUUGAUACCAUGGCCAAAAAGAACAAAUUCAAUGGUGUGAGGAGUGUAGGGCAGUAUCAAGGUUCUAAUCUAGCAGCAGGGAACAAAACUGUGGGAAACUCACAAAAAGAAGGUACUUCUAAUACAACUCUAUCAGGAACUAAGUUGUUUGAAGCUAGGAAAGCUAGGGGUGAAUGCUACAAAUAUGGAGAAAAGUAUUUCUCAGGCCAUGUGUGCAAGAAUAGACAGCUGAAUACAUUAUCUGGAAGUACUGAACAGGAGGAAGAAAUAACAGAGCUAAUUACAGAAGGUAAGGCUAUGCCUAAUGGGAUGAUGGAAGAGAUAUUAGAUGAGGCCAUCAGUCUCAAUGGACUUUCAGGCACCAUAACUUCUACUAUCAUUAAGCUUAGAGGGUUGUAUGGGAAGAAAAUGUUGACUAUAUUAGCAGACAGUAGAAACACCAAUAGUUUCAUAGCUAGUGAAACUGCCAAACACCUAGGGUGCAUAGUUGAAGAUGAUGCACCUAUGGGAGCAGUUGUGGCUAAUGGGGGCUACCUGAUGAGUUACCAAUCUUGUCCUCAAUUCAGUUGAAAGACUCAAGGGAUAAAUUUUGAACACAAGCUAAGAUUACUGGAUAUUGGGGGAUGUGAUGUGGUCUUGGGUGUGGAUUGGAUGAGGAAACAUAACGUCAUUCUGUUUGAAUUCAUUGAAUACAGGUUACAAGUGAGUGUGAAAGGGAAAAGGGUGGACCUUAAGGGAUAUUCUGAAGAAGGGAAGCUCAAUAGCAUGACAGCUGAUGGAGUAAAACAACUUCUCAAAAAAGGGAAGGUGCUGUGGGCUCAUUUAUUUACAAUUACUGCUAAGGAUGCUGAAAUACAUGGGGACAUACCUCAAAGGAUCAGUGGAGUGCUAGAGGAAUUUCUAGAUGUGUUUGAAGAACCAAAGACUUUGCUACCACAGAGGAGCCAUGAUCAUUCCAUUUCUCUCAAACUUAAUGUAACAACAGUGAGUAUCAGACCUUACAGGUAUAAUCACUUCCAGAAAAAUAAAAUAGAAAAGCAAGUCAAUGAAAUGUUAAAUAGUGUAAUUAUGCAGCCUAGUCAUUCUCCUUGUUCCUCACCUGUACUGCUAGUGAAGAAGAAGGAUGAAAGUUGGAGGUUCUGCAUUAAUUAUAGAGAGUUAAACAAGAUGACCAUAAAGGAUAAAUUUCCUAUUCCUUUAGUAGAUGAUUUGAUGGAUGAACUUAAAGGGUCUUGCAUAUAUUCCAAGAUUGAUCUAAGGGCUGGGUAUCAUCAAAUUAGGAUGGAGAGAUCUGACAUUUAUAAAACUACAUUUAGGACACAUCUGGGACACUAUGAGUUUAAAGUCAUUCCUUUUGGCUUGACAAAUGCCCCUGCAAACUUUCAGAAUCUGAUGAACCAUGUUUUCAGACCUAUUCUAAGAAAGUUUGUUAUAGUUUUAUUUGAUGACAUCUUAGUUUACAGUCCAACAGUGGACAGCCAUGUAGAUCAUCUCAAACAAGUCUUAUAAGUUUUAUAGAAGGAAAAACUCUAUGCUAAACUGUCCAAGUAUGCCUUUGGGCAAGAUAAGGUGGAGUAUUUGGGCCAUAUUAUCUCUCGUCAAUGAGUAGCUAUUGAUCCUGCCAAGAUAGACUCUAUAAUGUAUUGGCCUACACCUAAGUCAAUCAAGGCACUCAGGGGAUUUUUAGGUCUUACAGGUUACUACAGAAGAUUUGUGAAGUCCUAUGGCAUUAUUAGUAGGCCAUUAACCAACCUACUUAAGAAGAAUUCAUUCCAAUGGAAUGAUGAGGCAGAAGAGGCUUUUUCAGAAUCUGAAAUAUCCACAGCACAUGUACUAGCAUUGCCAGACUUCACCAAAACCUUUAUUGUAGAGACAGAUGCAUGCUCUACAGGAAUGGGAGCUGUACUAAUACAAGAGGGCAGAUCUAUAGCCUAUCUAAGUAAGGCUUUGACUACUAAGAAUAGGGGACUAUCCACCUAUGAAAAGGAGUACAUGGCAGUCUUAACAGCAGUGGAUAAAUGGAGACAUUACUUACAAUGUGGUCAUUUCAUUGUGAGAACAGAUCACUAGAGCCUUAAGUACUUAUUAGAGCAGAAAGUCACCACAGUGUUACAUCAAAAGGGCCUCACUAAACUUUUGGGGCUUGACUAUGAAAUUCAGUACAAGAAAGAUUCUGAAAACAGGGCAGUUGAUGCUCUAUCCAGGAGACAAGAAGAUUCUGACAACUCAACCUUAUUGGCUAUUUCCACUACACAGCCUGCUUGGCUAGAGGAAAUCAGUCAAUCCUAUAAAGGUGAUCCUAAGGUUACUCAGAUAUUGGCUGAACUAAUAGCAACUUCUCAGGGUAAUUCAGACUACACACUAUACAAAGGGAUAAUCAGGUGCAAACAGAAGAUAUAUGUAGGGAAGGGCAACACAUUGAGAAGGAAUGUGUGGGAAGCAUUGCAUCAAUCACCAUUGGGGGGACACUCAGGACAACAAGGUACUUACAAGAGGUUACAGAUGAACUUUUAUUGGUCAAAUAUGAAGACAGACAGUUGCAAAUGGGUCAGUGAAUGUGGCAUAUGCCAAAGGAUGAAAUCAGAGAAUGUGCAUUAUCUUAGGUUACUACAGCCUCUUCCUAUUCCUGAACAAGCAUGGCAGGAUAUCUCUAUGGAUUUUAUAGAAGGACUCAGAAGAAUGCAGUUUUGGUGGUGAUUGAUAGAUUUACUAAGUAUAGUCAUUUUUUGCCUCUUAAACAUCCUUUUACAGCACAAGAUGUAGCAGAAUUAUUUCUCAAGGAAAUUUAUAGAUUGCAUGGCAUUCCUAAAUCCAUAGUGUCUGACAGGGAUCCAGUUUUCACUAGCGACUUUUGGCAGCACCUUUUCAGAUCUAUGGGUACCAAACUCAAUUUAAGUUUAGCUUAUCACCCUAAGAGUUAUGGCCAAAUGGAGAGACUCAACAGGUGUAUGGAAACUUACCUAAGAGUUAUGGCCUUUGAUAAUCCUAAACAAUGGGUUAAGUGGCUUCACAUGGCAGAGUGGUGGUACAACACUAACUACCACAGUGCUCUAAAGAUCACAACUUUUGAAGCAUUAUAUGGGUAUGCACCUCCCGAACUACCACUGGGCUCACUACCUAGUUCUGGGCAGACUAUGGCAAGUAUGAGUUUAGCACAACGACAGCACAUGGUGCAGACACUUAAGGACAACCUAAUUCGAGCACAGUCACGCAUGAAAUUCUUUGCUGACAGAUCGAGAUCAGAAAGAACUUUGGAGAUUGGGGACCAGGUCUAUCUUAAGCUACAACCGUAUAGACAAUCAUCAAUAGAGGUUCGUAAGAAUGUUAAGUUUGUGUGCUCGUUAUAUUGGUCCUUACAAGAUAUUGAAGAAAAUUGGAACAGUAGCUUACCUAUUGGAGCUUCCUGAAGGCUCUCAACUUCACCCAGUAUUCCACGUUUCUUAGCUCAAGAAGAGAAUAGGUCCAAUGAUUGAACCUCAGCUUCAGCCACCCAUUUGUGAUGCCAACGGUCAAGUACUGAUACAGCCAGUGGGAAUAUUGCAGCGAAAAAUGGUAAAGAUUGAUAAUGGUGUGGAGUUAAAGUGUUAAUUCAGUGGGCAAAUCUUAAGGAAGAGGAUGCUACAUGGGAAGAUUGGGGGUAUAUCAAGCAUCAUUUUCCAGAUUUUGUGGCUCAACAGGCUCAACAUCGACCUUGAGGACAAGGUCAUUCUCGAAGGGAUAGGGAAUGUUAUGAAUUGGGAAGUAGGUGAAAGGGGAAAGUAGGUAAAGGCUGUGUAAUAAAGUGGGUUGGGCCACUAUAGACGGACAGAUCAGAGAAUUGGGCCAAGCAUGAAGCCCAAUUUAGACGACUCUCAUUCAGCCCAAAGUAAAAGAAUAAAUACCAUUAGUUAGGUAGAUGAGUUAGGCAAUUAUUCUGUUAAUCAGUUACACUCUCAACCACUUCUUCUCUCUUAUUCUCUCUUAUUCUUUCUUCUAGAUUCUUCUUUUCUUCUUCAUUUCUUAAUUCCCAAUUCUUCAAUUCUAGUGGUUGCAUGUAAUAAUGGUGAUUACAAUCCAUUGAUAUUAAAUAAAGAGUUCCAUUUUUUCCUUUCCGAUUCUUUAAAUUUUCACUAGGUGGUAAAUUGAAUCAAGCUAUAACACAGGUUCAAAUGCUAGUACCAGAGUGAAGUGGCCUAUUGGUUAUAGAGUCACCAACAGUUUUGCCGAGGCCCGUAAAUUCACAAUUGGGAAUUUCAUUCAGGGUGGGGAAUGGAUACCUCCGGGCUUUCCUUUUUUAUCUUUGACUUCCUUCUAAUGGUUUCUCUUACAAUUUUAUGGGUGCUAGCUACUAGAUUAUUUUCUAAUGUGUGUUGUGAAAUUGAGUCAGUAGCCUGUAUUCUUGGGGAAAUUCAUGUCAUUCGUAUUAUGUAUUCAUAGGAACAAUGAUAUGAAAUUCUGCAUAUUAUUUCAAAUUCCAUUCAUCACUUCAAUUGUCACGAACUCUACUCGAGAGUUGGGGCCAGAGAAGCAUGAAGAUCAACUUGGGCAUGCUGCUCGAAAUUCAGAUGUAGUAACAAAGGCUAGAUAAUGCAAUAAAAGAUUAGCAAAUUGUAAGUGGAAGCCUGGUUGAAGCUACAAGUGCUUGAAGCUAUAAAAGGAAAGAAACCACGAGACAGUAGCUUUCCUUUUGUGUUUUAUCGUUUCUUGGCCUUGUUUAUCCCUAAGUUGAGGAAUUCAAACUUGUAAAUUCUUUUAUUUUAGUUUAAUAUUAAGCUUUCCUGAUACAUUAAUUUUUCUAGAUUUGUAUGACGUGAAUGAUUAAAACUUAGUUUUUCUUGAAAGUUGACGGGGAGCCGUAAGAUUAUUUUUUGUGUUUCGGUAGCUAGAAAGGUUAAUGGUGUUGGUAUUAUUUAUAAUGUAAAGUCAAAAAUUUCUUUUUUAAAAUUCA
rnacentral:lncRNA from 1 species